AAAUGAAUAGACGGGGACCCGCACAAGCAGUGGAGUAUGUGGUUUAAUUCGAAGCAACGCGAAGAACCUUACCAGGUCUUGACAUCCCUCUGAAUACCCUGGAGACAGGGUAGGCCUUCGGGACAGAGGAGACAGGUGGUGCAUGGUUGUCGUCAGCUCGUGUCGUGAGAUGUUGGGUUAAGUCCCGCAACGAGCGCAACCCUUGAUUUUAGUUGCCAGCACGUAAAGGUGGGCACUCUAGAAUGACUGCCGGUGACAAACCGGAGGAAGGCGGGGAUGACGUCAAAUCAUCAUGCCCCUUAUGACCUGGGCUACACACGUACUACAAUGGCCGGUACAACGGGAAGCGAAGGGGCGACCCGGAGCGAAUCCUUAAAAGCCGGUCUCAGUUCGGAUUGCAGGCUGCAACUCGCCUGCAUGAAGUCGGAAUUGCUAGUAAUCGCGGAUCAGCAUGCCGCGGUGAAUCCGUUCCCGGGUCUUGUACACACCGCCCGU
rnacentral:rRNA from 1 species